rnacentral:rRNA from 1 species
AUACUGCAAGUCGAGCGAACGAUAAGGAGCUUGCUCCUUUGACGUUAGCGGCGGACGGGUGAGUAACACGUGGGUAACCUACCUAUAAGACUGGAAUAACUCCGGGAAACCGGGGCUAAUGCCGGAUAACAUUUAGAACCGCAUGGUUCUAAAGUGAAAGAUGGUUUUGCUAUCACUUAUAGAUGGACCCGCGCCGUAUUAGCUAGUUGGUAAGGUAAUGGCUUACCAAGGCAACGAUACGUAGCCGACCUGAGAGGGUGAUCGGCCACACUGGAACUGAGACACGGUCCAGACUCCUACGGGAGGCAGCAGUAGGGAAUCUUCCGCAAUGGGCGAAAGCCUGACGGAGCAACGCCGCGUGAGUGAUGAAGGGUUUCGGCUCGUAAAACUCUGUUAUUAGGGAAGAACAAACGUGUAAGUAACUGUGCACGUCUUGACGGUACCUAAUCAGAAAGCCACGGCUAACUACGUGCCAGCAGCCGCGGUAAUACGUAGGUGGCAAGCGUUAUCCGGAAUUAUUGGGCGUAAAGCGCGCGUAGGCGGUUUCUUAAGUCUGAUGUGAAAGCCCACGGCUCAACCGUGGAGGGUCAUUGGAAACUGGGAGACUUGAGUGCAGAAGAGGAAAGUGGAAUUCCAUGUGUAGCGGUGAAAUGCGCAGAGAUAUGGAGGAACACCAGUGGCGAAGGCGACUUUCUGGUCUGUAACUGACGCUGAUGUGCGAAAGCGUGGGGAUCAAACAGGAUUAGAUACCCUGGUAGUC